CAGCCGCCGCGGUAAUACGGAGGGUGCAAGCGUUAUCCGGAUUUAUUGGGUUUAAAGGGUCCGUAGGCGGAUCUGUAAGUCAGUGGUGAAAUCUCACAGCUUAACUGUGAAACUGCCAUUGAUACUGCAGGUCUUGAGUAAAUUUGAAGUGGCUGGAAUAAGUAGUGUAGCGGUGAAAUGCAUAGAUAUUACUUAGAACACCAAUUGCGAAGGCAGGUCACUAAGAUUUAACUGACGCUGAUGGACGAAAGCGUGGGGAGCAAACAGGAUUAGAUACCCCUGUAGUCCCUGUCUCUUAUAC
rnacentral:rRNA from 1 species